CAAGUGUUGUUACUUUGUCGCCAUUGCAACAUCCAAGAUGGCCGCCAGUGGGGGAACUUAGUUUAACAUAGGACCCUAUGGGAAAUGCAUACAAAAGCCUUCUUCUAAAGAACCACUGAAUUGAAUGAAAUCAAACAUAGCAUGAAUGUUCCUUUCCUUAUGAGGUGCUGGCCAAGUGUUGUUACUUUUAGCCAAAUUUUAUAAUUUUUUAUAUGAUUUCAAAAACCCAAG
rnacentral:lncRNA from 1 species